rnacentral:rRNA from 1 species
AUUGAACGCUGGCGGCAGGCCUAACACAUGCAAGUCGAGCGAGCGGCGGACGGGUGAGUAAUGUAUGGGGACUGCCCGAUCUAGGGGGAUAACUACUGGAAACGGUGGCUAAUACCGCAUACUAUCGGCUACCCCAUAUGGGAUUAGCUAGUCGGUAAGGUAAUGGCUUACCUAGGCGACGAUCCCUAGCUGGUCUGAGAGGAUGAUCAGCAACACGGGGACUGAGACACGGCCCAGACUCCUACGGAGGCAGCAGUGGGGAAUAUUGCACAAUGGGCGAAAGCCGGAUGAAGCCAUGCGGCGUGGAUGAAGAAGGCCCUAGGGUGGUAAAGUACGUUCAGUCGGGAGGCGGUACCGACAGAAGAAGCACCGGCUAACUACGUGCCAGCAGCCGCGGUAAUUC